GUUUUAGGUCUUGGCAAUGUCCCCCUCUCAGCAAAGGCAUUACCUAUUUUACCAUUUUAAGCAUAUCUUGUAACUCUUCUGUGGUUUGGUUUCUUCCUCAGGAACAUGGGAAGGUGGGGCAAGAUUAUUUCUGAAGGAACGUCCAUCGCAUGAGAGCAUUUUUAAGGAAAAGAAAUAUUUGAGUUCAUCACUAAAUUCCUGUUUCGAAAAUGAGAUUCUGAGAGAGAGAAAGUACAAGCAGGAUGGGCAGCAGAGGGAGAGGGAAAGGGGGCUGAGCAGGGAGCCCCCACACUCAACCAAUUGAGCCCACCAGGCUCCCCAGAGGACUUCUGAUUUCUGAACGUGAGUUAAUUCUACUUCUCCUUAAGUAAGAGAACACAUUUAAAUGAUUGAUG
rnacentral:lncRNA from 1 species